CCCUGAUUCACCAGGUGGUUGAUGAACCAAUCCUAGCCCUGCCAGGAAUCAGGACAUAAUGAGGAGUUUUGUUCAGAACAGCAACAAAAGCUCCAGCAUCUGUGUGCCUCGAAAACAAUCUGUGACAUUUCUAUAUGUAUGUGUAAAAUACAUCACUGCUCUUGCAAGACUUUUACCUAAAAGGAGAAUCGGACAGGAAAAUAUAGAAGCUCAAUGAUAACAGAUGACAAAAGGUGCUGCCAGGAUUACAAAAAGAAAACUAAAAAGGCAUUGCUAAAUGGCGAUUACAUUCUUCUCCAGCAACCCCCAUAGAGUAUCAGUAAUCAAGUCUCCAAAGUGGCUUUACAACUUGUCACUGCAUUGACAUUUUUGCACCAAGAGGAGAGAAGGCAACUAAACAACAAUGAAAUUGGCUAUCAUGAGUUGUAAGGCUGGACAGUUUUAACAAAAUAAUAGUUGUCUUGUUAUCUUGGAUAUGGUUAUUAACCCUUUUAAACUUAAGGGUAAAACAAAUCUUGAUGACUAAGCACAAUUUUGAAACGUUGACAUGUGUUCGUGAAACCGUACAUAUCCCCACAACUACUGUACACCCAGAUAAAUUGUACCACUUGUUUUCCUGGACAAAUUGGACUUUCAUUUGGUGGUAAUGGUUAUGGAUAUCUCCU